rnacentral:rRNA from 1 species
GGUUAAGUGAAUAAGGGCGCACGGUGGAUGCCUUGGCACUAGGAGCCGAUGAAGGACGGGACUAACACCGAUAUGCUUUGGGGAGCUGUACGUAAGCUAUGAUCCAGAGAUUUCCGAAUGGGGGAACCCAGCAUCUUUAAUAGGAUGUUACGAUUGUGUGAAUACAUAGCACAUUCGAGGUAGACGCAGAGAACUGAAACAUCUAAGUACCUGCAGGAAGAGAAAGAAAAUUCGAUUCCCUGAGUAGCGGCGAGCGAAACGGGAAAAGCCCAAACCAACAAGCUUGCUUGU